CCUACGGGUGGCAGCAGUGAGGAAUAUUGGUCAAUGGCCGGAAGGCUGAACCAGCCAAGUCGCGUGAGGGAAUAAGGCCCUAUGGGUCGUAAACCUCUUUUGUCAGGGAGCAAAGGCGUCCACGUGUGGACGAGAGGAGAGUACCUGAAGAAAAAGCAUCGGCUAACUCCGUGCCAGCAGCCGCGGUAAUACGGAGGAUGCGAGCGUUAUCCGGAUUUAUUGGGUUUAAAGGGAGCGUAGGCCGCAUGUCAAGCGUGCUGUGAAAUGUCCGGGCUCAACCCGGGCCUUGCAGCGCGAACUGGCGUGCUUGAGUCCGCGGAAAGCAGGCGGAAUUCGUCGUGUAGCGGUGAAAUGCUUAGAUAUGACGAAGAACCCCGAUUGCGAAGGCAGCUUGCUGCAGCGGAACUGACGCUGAUGCUCGAAAGCGCGGGUAUCGAACAGGAUUAGAUACCCGGGUAGUC
rnacentral:rRNA from 1 species